AUCAGCUUCAGUUGACCAGUCCGC
rnacentral:siRNA from 1 species